rnacentral:lncRNA from 1 species
CACCAGAAGGACCCUCUUUUUCCUGCUACCAGCUUAGUGGCAGAUGGAGAGGAAAUGAACUCACACAGCUUUAAUGGGAAUAUAGCCGGGGAUGGCAGCUUCAACGACAAUGGGAAUGGCUUCGAGUCCCCAGCCAUCUAUGUGAGUAUUGCAAGAGACCAGGACCUCCAUCACAACAGGAGCUAACAGGCAGUCCUCCUUUC